CACGGGGGGAGCAAGCGUUGUUCGGAAUCACUGGGCGUAAAGGGCGUGUAGGCGGUUGCGUAAGUGGAAUGUGAAAUCCCCCGGCUUACCCGGGGACCUGCAUCCCAAACUGCGCGACUUGAGUAUGGGAGAGGGAUGUAGAAUUCCAGGUGUAGCGGUGAAAUGCGUAGAUAUCUGGAGGAAUACCGGUGGCGAAGGCGGCAUCCUGGACCAUAACUGACGCUGAGGCGCGAAAGCUAGGGGAGCAAACGGG
rnacentral:rRNA from 1 species